rnacentral:rRNA from 1 species
UCCGUUGUAGCAAUACGAUGGAAAGUCUAGUGGCGAACGGGUGCUUAACACGUGGGCAACCUGCCAUGAAGUGGGGGAUAGCUCGCCGAAAGGCGAAUUAAUACCGCAUGUGAUUAGAGAGGACAUCCUUUCGAAAUUAAAGUCGGGGCAACCUGACGCUUCUUGUGGGGCCCGCGGCCUAUCAGCUAGUUGGUGAGGUAACGGCUCACCAAGGCUUUGACGGGUAGCUGGUCUGAGAGGACGACCAGCCACACUGGGACUGAGACACGGCCCAGACACCUACGGGUGGCAGCAGUCGAGAAUUUUUGACAAUGGGGGAAACCCUGAUCGAGCGACGCCGCGUGGAGGAUGAAGGUCUUCGGAUUGUAAACUCCUGUCAUUGGGGAACAAUGCACAGAUAUUAACUGUAUUUGUGUUGAUAGUACCCGAAGAGGAAGAGACGGCUAACUCUGUGCCAGCAGCCGCGGUAAUACAGAGGUCUCAAGCGUUGUUCGGAUUCAUUGGGCGUAAAGGGUGCGUAGGCGGCGCGGUAAGUCGGGUGUGAAAUCUCGGAGCUUAACUCCGAAACUGCAUUCGAUACUGCCGUGCUUGAGGACUGGAGAGGAGACUGGAAUUCACGGUGUAGCA